rnacentral:snRNA from 1 species
GGAUGUGAGGGCAAUCUGGUUGCAACAUCUGUCACCCCAUUGAUCGCCAGGGUUGAUUCGGCUGAUCUGGCUGGCUAGGCGGGUGUCCCCUUCCUCCCUCACCGCUCCAUGUGCGUCCCUCCCGAAGCUGCGCGCUCGGUCGAAGAGGACGACCAUCCCCGAUAGAGGAGGACCGGUCUUCGGUCAAGGGUAUACGAGUAGCUGCGCUCCCCUGCUAGAACCUCCAAACAAGCUCUCAAGAAUACUCAAGUGGUGUGCCAUUCCCUUCUCCAGUGGACCAUGUUUUGUCAGGCUCUGACUAGAAGGGACAGAUCCUUCAGCUACUCCAGGAAGCCAGAU